rnacentral:lncRNA from 1 species
UUUUUAUCCCUCUAUUUUUCAUCCCUUUAUUUUUACUCCUCCAUUUCCCCCUUUAUUUUUUCCCCUCUCCAUUUUCCCCCUCUAUUUUACUCCUCUAUUUUAUCUCUCUGUUUUUAUCCCUCUAUUUUUCCUCCUCUAUUUUCCCUCUCCAUUUUCCUCCCUCUAUUCUUUAUCCCUCUAUUUUUCAUCCCUUUAUUUUUACUCCUCCAUUUCCCCCUUUAUUUUUUCCCCUCUAUUUUCCCCCUCUAUUUUACUCCUCUAUUUUAUCUCUCUAUUUUUAUCCCUCUAUUUUUCCUCCUCUAUUUUCCCCCUCUAUUUUUCACCCCUCCAUUUUUACCCCUCUAUUUUUCAUCCCUUUAUUUUCACUCCUCCAUUUCCCCCUCUAUUUUUUCCCCUCCAUUUUCCCCCCUCUAUUUUACUCCUCUAUUUUAUCUCUCUCUUUUUAUCCCUCUAUUUUUCCUCCUCUAUUUUCCCUCUCCAUUUCCCUCCCUCUAUUCUUUAUCCCUCUAUUUUUCAUCCCUUUAUUUUUACUCCUCCAUUUCCCCCUUUAUUUUUUCCCCUCCAUUUUACCCCUCUAUUUUAUUUCUCUAUUUUUAUCCCUCUAUUUUUCCUCCUCUAUUUUCCCUCUCCAUUUUCCUCCCUCUAUUCUUUAUCCCUCUAUUUUUUUUCUAUUUUAUCCCUCUAUUUUUCCUCCUCUAUUUUCCCUCUCCAUUUUCCUCCCCUCUAUUCUUUAUCCCUCUAUUUUUUUUCUUUUUUCCCCCAUCUAUUUUUCCCCUCUAUUUUCACCCCUCCAUUUUUAACCCCUCCAUUCCCCCCUCUUUUCCCCAGAUUCCCCCUCCAAUUCCCUCUCCCAUCCCCACAAUUUCCAGCCAGCCCCGCUCUGUUUUCCCAGCAAUAGUUCAAAUUACAGAGCCCAGCAGCAGCUUUACAAGAAAAUCCCCCAGAAUUGGGCAAAGGGAAUAAAACUGCCAUUCUCUCUACCUGUUUGUGCAGCUCCUGCCCAACGCAGGCAGGGCCUGCCUGUUUAUUUGGAGAAGGAAAGUUGUGGAAAUCUCCUUGGAGGGUGUAAUGUGGCCAGCACGUGUUGCUGGGAGCUACCUGAAGUCUGCACCCUAAUGGCUUGCAGAUGUCCCUGGGUCACCCAUUUCCUCUCAAAUUCGAGCGAGAAAUUCGAAUAAAUUAAAAAAAAAAUUAAAUCA